rnacentral:lncRNA from 1 species
GCUCGAGGUGGAGGCCCAUCAGUACACCGCCGCGCUGAGCCCCAUUCUCUUCGAGUGCCUUAUCCAUCCUAUGCUUGGGGGAGCCACUGACCAGACGGUCAUCGAUGCUAACCUUGUUAAGAUCAAGAACGUGCUGGCGGUGUACGAGGCGCACCUGAGCAAGUCCAAGUACCUGGCUGGAGACUUCCUCAGUCUUGCGGACCUUAACCAUGUGUCUGUCACCCUGUGCUUGGCGGCUACACCCUACGCGUCUCUGUUCGACGCGUACCCGCAUGUGAAGGCCUGGUGGACUGACCUGCUGGCGAGGCCGUCCGUCCAGAAGGUCGCUGCGCUGAUGAAGCCAUGAUCUUAGUUUCUGGCGCUCGUUCGUCGCGAAAUAAGCCGAGGUGUGUUUCCCCCGAUGUGUGCCUGUCCGAGUGUGUGUUCUUGUGAUGUCUCCUCGUGUUGAAUGUUCAGGCUUGUGCUUGCGAUCCUGUCUAGAUCUUGUACUGAAAUGAGCAUUCCUAUGCUCUGGUUUAAUAAUAAAUUGUGCCCAGAGAUUAUCUCAGCUUCAAUAUUUUCUCAUCUGUUGCUUCGAUGAUCUGUCCAUUAGCAAUUUAG